GCCAGGUGCAGUGGCGCGUGCCUGUAGUCCCAGCUACUCGGGAGGCUGAGGUUGAGCCCAGGAGUUCUGGGCUGUAGUGCGUUAUGUCAGUAGGGUGUCCGAACUAAGUUCAGCAUCAAUAUGGUGACCUCCUGGUAGCAGGAGACUACCACGUUGCCUAAGGAGGAGGGAACCUACCCAGGUCAGAGAUGAAGUGGGUCAAAACUCCCAAAUAGCCACUGCACUCCUGCCUGGGCAACAUAGCAAGGCCCCAU
rnacentral:SRP_RNA from 1 species